AAUAGAUACCCUGGUAGUCCACGCCGUAAACGAUGUCGACUUGGAGGUUGUGCCCUUGAGGCGUGGCUUCCGGAGCUAACGCGUUAAGUCGACCGCCUGGGGAGUACGGCCGCAAGGUUAAAACUCAAAUGAAUUGACGGGGGCCCGCACAAGCGGUGGAGCAUGUGGUUUAAUUCGAUGCAACGCGAAGAACCUUACCUACUCUUGACAUCCAGAGGACUUUCCAGAGAUGGAUUGGUGCCUUCGGGAACUCUGAGACAGGUGCUGCAUGGCUGUCGUCAGCUCGUGUUGUGAAAUGUUGGGUUAAGUCCCGCAACGAGCGCAACCCUUAUCCUUUGUUGCCAGCGGUUAGGCCGGGAACUCAAAGGAGACUGCCAGUGAUAAACUGGAGGAAGGUGGGGAUGACGUCAAGUCAUCAUGGCCCUUACGAGUAGGGCUACACACGUGCUACAAUGGCGCAUACAAAGAGAAGCGACCUCGCGAGAGCAAGCGGACCUCAUAAAGUGCGUCGUAGUCCGGA
rnacentral:rRNA from 1 species